rnacentral:rRNA from 1 species
AUACGGAGGGGGUUAGCGUUGUUGGGAAUUACUGGGCGUAAAGCGCACGUAGGCGGAUUGGAAAGUUGGGGGAGAAAUCCCAGGGCUCAACCCUGGAACUGCCUCCAAAACUAACAGUCUAGAGUUCGAGAGAGGUGAGUGGAAUUCCAAGUGUAGAGGUGAAAUUCGUAGAUAUUUGGAGGAACACCAGUGGCGAAGGCGGCUUACUGGCUCGAUACUGACGCUGAGGUGCGAAAGCGUGGGGAGCAAACAGGAUUAGAAACCCCAGUAGUCC